rnacentral:tRNA from 2 species
GCGGGUGUGGCGGAAUUGGUAGACGCGCGGGAUUCAAAAUCCCGUAUCUUAAUCGAUGUGUCGGUUCGAGCCCGACCACCCGUACCA